rnacentral:lncRNA from 1 species
UCAAACAUAGUGUUAUAUAUUCCAUUGCAUGGAACCAAGAUGGCUGAAAACAAAGUCAUGAGACCAACUCAUGAUAGAAAGCAAGCUGGAUUACAUAGCUCCAUCUGCAUUGGUAUUUCCACACCAAUUUAAAAAGAUGUUUCAUCUACUUUAUAUUAUGAAGUACUGGAGCUGAAAGGAUAAGGUGACGCAGAGCACAUUAUAUGGUCGAGAAAAGUAGUGCAUGACCUAGGUCUUGAAGCUGAGCUAUAUUAUGAGAUAAUGGCAGUGGUUGCUCAUGACGCUAUCAAAGGGAGUGCAGGAUGAUAUGAGUUCUCCCGCCAAUUCCUCAAAGGCAAAUGCAUAUGACACUCCUCCUUUCAUAUUUGCGAUGUCAAAGAACUGAGUCCAGCUUCUUGUGAUUGUAUGAUAAGCCGAGCAAUGACGAUGGCAGGUCUGUUUCCAGCUUUGAUUAGCAAAUUAGUAUGCUCUUCAUGCAUGUGCCCCUUGGGAUAUUCUUGUGUGAAGUGAGUGGAAAAGUACUGCAAUAGAUAUUAAGCAUGGUUAAGAUGCAGCUAUGAAGAUUCAUAAAAAGGAGAAAGGACAGGAACAGAAUACCAUUUGUUGACCACUUGUUGCGAACAUCUUGUUCAUGGUACAGACAUAGUAGGAAGAGAAAUUUUGUUUCCGUCUAGUAUUAAGCUGUUCAGAGUGUCAACAUGCUGUUUGUAUAGUGUUACCUCAUUCCCAAACAAGAAAAUAGUAGCUCAGCUCAUCUAUGUACCCAUGAAUGCGCACAUCUAUUUAAUUUGAAGGCUAAUUUAAUUAUCAUGCCUAAAUGUGGUAUAAAUGGGGCGACACCGUUAGCUUCUUACCACGGAUAAUGCAUUUUACAUCAUCCAGAGUGGUCCCCUGCGUGCAUAUUCAGUUACUGGGCAAUAUGAUGCCAAAUCUACACAGAGAAAAAAAAUGGCUAUUACUUCAUACCUCCUACACAUCCAGAGUGAUCCUCCUGUGUGCAUAUUCAGUUAAUGUGUCACAAAAUAACAUGAUGCCAAAUGAUAAGCAUGUAUGAGGAAAAUUAAAAUGUUCAAUAAAGAUUUCUCUAAAGGGCAUAUGAUGCAAACUUUGAGAACAACAGGACUUCCAACUCGCUGGAACUGUAGUCGCACACAUGAACAUACUAUGCUUCAAGUACCAGAAAGACAGUAGAACACAUGGAAACAAACAUGUGGAUACCAAUCGCUUAUUCAGGCAGAGUAAGAAGCCUAUACGCAAUAAUGAACGGUGGUCUGAUUAAAGAAGAUCAGGUGUUGGGGAAAAUAUACCUUGUCGUCGCUGAAAUUUCACUUGGAGGCAUCUAUGGCGACUUGAUGUGGCGUGCAUGAAAUCUUCUUUGGUAAUAGGCAAGUAAAAGUCACAUUUUAGUUUUGAAGCAAGCAGACAAAGUCUGUGAAUAUAUAUUAUAGUCCAUGCAAAGCAGACAAGAUCCACGUAUUAGCAAUUUAUUAAAACAGGAAAAAAAUCAGCAUAUACAUUUCCACGCAUUAACAUCUAACCAACUAAAAACCAAAGAGAGGAAAUCGAAAACUUCUAUUUUUUGGCCUGACAACAUUGUCACCAAAGACUGGGAAGCAUGGAUUGCAUGCGCCAAUAAAAAUUUACCAGGCAAAAAAUAAGACGUAUCAUUUUCCAUCAACACUUAUAUACCAGUUAAAAAGCAUGAUCCAAUGGUCUUAGUAGUAAACAACUCGGAUAGAAGCAUAGGCUAAUGUGAGGCAGUUACACAUGCCGCAAAAGCAUCCUAAAGACGGAUGUUUUUCACGCAAGCUAUAUUAGUAGAGAAACUAUUGCUCAGCUUUGUAAAUCGUAACCAGAAAAAGGAAAGAGAAGCCUAUGAAAAAUUGCACAGGAGCACAUAUUAACAGAAGGAAAAUCCGACUAAAAUAUAAAAUCCUAUAACUUAGUCCUAGAAUCCUUUCGUAUAAGGAGUGAAGAAAUGUUUGUAGUCUCAAGAGCCUCGUCGGUACGAAAUCUUUCAACUAUUUUGUUACCCGUGUCAAUAUCCCUCAGUUCCAGCGGCUGCAAUCAAGAGUCAAGAAUAAAUCAGAUUGGUAAUAAAACAAAUGACAAAUUUAAGCUCCAGUUAAGUCAAGCAUAUAUAAAAAAACAUGCCCCUGAACUUAAUUUUCGUCAUUUGGGGGAUGUAUAGCAUGGAACUGCAGAUAUGCCAAUGGGGAGUUCUAAUUCAGAGCAUCCCUGAAUAAAGAGUGUGCAGUAAGAAAUGAUAGCAGUAUUUAUACUCAGGGUCGCCGGAGACAUGCAUCGAAGGAAAUAUGUGCAUUGCACCACCAUAUUUCUUGGCUGACUCAACCAAGUCACAUACUUUCUCCUGCUACCGACGUCUGUGUUACUACAAGGGGAAGAAAAAAGUUCAACUAUUACCACUCCACUUUCAGUAUAUAUACGGUGCCAACAACUUGGCAUAGAACCUAAUGUUUUUCUGUGAGUUCAUGGAUCGGCCAUUGGGAGAAUAUUACAGGGUGGAGGCAUAAGGAGAAUAAUCAAAUAGCAAGACUGUACAAGAAAAUAUGCUGCAACUUGCAACUCAUGAAAUUCUGUUUAAAUUUAUAGGUCAUAUUUGAUGCAUAGGAAGCACAGGUAAAUACAGAAGUUCAGCUUCAAGCCACUCAUCAAAUAUGGGGGACCUCCCUUGCUAUGCCCAGACCAACAAAAAUUGAACUGUCGAUACAACCGGACUGACAAAAUGAACUAUUGAAAGGGAAACCUACUAUUUUUUUUGCAGAACAUUUUCAAUUUGACAAUGCAAAAAGUAGUAAACACCACAAGAUGUGAUUUUUUUCCCAUUCCUCAAUCGAGAGUAACGAUCAACAACCAGCUCAUGUUGCAAAUAUAUUUCAAUUGAACAAAGCAGGCUACAUCCAGCAAUAACUUGACCUAAGUUUCUACUUGUGACCUUUUAUAGUGGUUGUUUAUGCCAUGAACAAUAAGGAGUGGAAAUUAAUAUAUCCCGAACCAAUAUUUCGAAAUUUGUAGAGGCCAAGUAAUUCAUUAAUCUAAUGUUUCCUGGUGAGACACACCAUUCAUCCAUAGCAGGUUAGGCAAGCAAGCUUAACUAACCUACUGCAAUGGCCACUGCUGCACCACGAGCGUCGGGGAAGACGUCCAGGGAAGAAGGCGGCGGCGCGAGAGGCCGUGGGGCCGGAGGGUCGAGGAGCGGGGGAGGCUGGAGAUGCUGAACGGCGCGGACUCGAAUGGGGCUCGAGGAAGGGAAGGAUUGAUCCUUUGUGCGCUAGGUUUUCGGGACGCAUUAGUGCCUUUCGUGCUGGACAAAAUAACUUGCAAAUCAAAAUCUGUAUAACUUUACUCCUGAACCUGGCCAACAUUAAUUAGCAUGGCCCCUUUUGCUCAUAUUUGUACAUUUAGUCGGCAAACCUUUCCGAAAUUGUAUCUGAAAGAAGCUGCUACUGUCUUUUGCUUGUUCUCGCAAAGAAUUAAAUCCAUAGUAUGCCAAGAAGCUAUGAAAAUUUUGCAAUUGCUUCAAAGAAUAUAAUACAUUGCAGAAAUAAAAUACUCUAUCAGAGAGUUGGCAGGCGAGGUAGUAGGAACAAGAGCAAGAACUAACUUUGAGAGGAGAUGGGCAGACUCUUGCAUCGUGCCCUGGCUGACACCUACGCUUACGCCAUGCCUCAUGUAUCCAUUCCUCAUUCCUCUGUG